rnacentral:rRNA from 2 species
UACGGAGGGUGCAAGCGUUAUCCGGAAUCACUGGGUUUAAAGGGUGCGUAGGCGGCUAUGUAAGUCAGUUGUGAAAUACCUCGGCUUAACCGAAGGAAGUGCGAUUGAUACUGCGUAGCUUGAAUCAAGUUGAGGUAGGCGGAAUGUGACAUGUAGCGGUGAAAUGCUUAGAUAUGUCAUAGAACACCGAUUGCGAAGGCAGCUUACUGGGCUUUGAUUGACGCUGAGGCACGAAAGCGUGGGGAGCAAACAGG